GAUGAACGCUGGCGGCGUGCCUAAUACAUGCAAGUCGAGCGAACAGACAAGGAGCUUGCUCCUUUGACGUUAGCGGCGGACGGGUGAGUAACACGUGGAUAACCUACCUAUAAGACUGGUAUAACUACGGGAAACCGGGGCUAAUGCCGGAUAAUAUUUUGAACCGCAUGGUUCUAUAGUGAAAGACGGUUUUGCUGUCACUUAUAGAUGGAUCCGCGCCGUAUUAGCUAGUUGGUAAGGUAACGGCUUACCAAGGCAACGAUGCGUAGCCGACCUGAGAGGGUGAUCGGCCACACUGGAACUGAGCCACGGUCCAGACUACUACGGGAGGCAGCAGUAGGGAAUCUUACGCAAUGGGCGAAAGCCUGACGGAGCAACGCCGCGUGAGUGAUGAAGGUCUCCGGAUCGUAAAACUCUGUUAUUAGGGAAGAACAAAUGUGUAAGUAACUGUGCACGUCUUGACGGUACCUAAUCAGAAAGCCACGGCUAACUACGUG
rnacentral:rRNA from 1 species